UACCUGCAGCCCGAGUGGUGGCCGUUAUUAUUGGGCCUAAAACGUCCGUAGCCGGUUUGGUAGAUGCCUGUGUAAAUCGAACGGCUUAACCGUUCGAACUGCGGGUAGACCGCCAGACUUGGGGCCGGGAGAGUCACGAAGUACUCCGGGGGUAGAGGUGAAAUUCUGUAAUCCUCGGGGGACUACCGGUGGCGAAGGCGUCGUGAUAGAACGGCUCCGACGGUGAGGGACGAAGCCCUGGGGCGCAAACCGG
rnacentral:rRNA from 1 species